AUCUCCCUGCUGUGCGCGUUGGAACUUGAUAAUUGUUGAACCAACACUAAUUCAAGGGAGCCUGAAUUAUUUAAGCAUACGUGCUUAAAACUAGGGCACCCACCUGAAUCCAAACCGGUUCAGACUAUCCUCCAACGGCACAAAGCGGGGAUUUU
rnacentral:other from 1 species